AAAGGCCUGUGAUGACUUGAAAGAUUUGCCUACAUUGUCCGAUCUUCUAAUCCAUGAUACUGGAAAAUUUGGAACAGUUCUGAGGCCUUG